rnacentral:rRNA from 1 species
UGGGGAAUCUUGGACAAUGGGGGAAACCCUGAUCCAGCCAUGCCGCGUGAGUGAUGAAGGCCUUAGGGUUGUAAAGCGCUUUCAGCGGGGACGAUGAUGACGGUACCCGCAGAAGAAGCCCCGGCUAACUCCGUGCCAGCAGCCGCGGUAAUACGGAGGGGGCAAGCGUUGUUCGGAUUUACUGGGCGUAAAGGGCGCGUAGGCGGGGUAUCAAGUUAGGGGUGAAAGCCCGGGGCUCAACCUCGGAACUGCCUUUAAAACUGAUACUCUAGAGUCCGGAAGAGGGUCGCGGAAUUCCCAGUGUAGAGGUGAAAUUCGUGGAUAUUGGGAAGAACACCGGUGGCGAAGGCGGCGACCUGGUCCGGUACUGACGCUGAGGCGCGAAAGCGUGGGGAGCAAACAGGAUUAGAUACCCCUGUAGUCC